rnacentral:rRNA from 1 species
UACGGAGGGGGCUAGCGUUGUUCGGAAUUACUGGGCGUAAAGCGCACGUAGGCGGCUUUGUAAGUUAGAGGUGAAAGCCCAGGGCUUAACCCUGGAAUUGCCUUUAAGACUGCAUCGCUAGAAUCGUGGAGAGGUGAGUGGAAUUCCGAGUGUAGAGGUGAAAUUCGUAGAUAUUCGGAAGAACACCAGUGGCGAAGGCGACUUACUGGACACAUACUGACGCUGAGGUGCGAAAGCGUGGGGAGCAAACAGG